UGACCCAUGGUGUAAUGGUAACACAGCGGAUUUUGAUUCCGUCAUUCUAGGUUCGAGUCCUAGUGGGUCAA
rnacentral:tRNA from 1 species